CACAAACGACUCUCGGCAACGGAUAUCUCGGCUCACGCAUCGAUGAAGAACGUAGCAAAAUGCGAUACUUGGUGUGAAUUGCAGAAUCCCGUGAACCAUCGAGUUUUUGAACGCAAGUUGCGCCCGAAGCCUUUUGGCUGAGGGCACGUCUGCCUGGGCGUCACGC
rnacentral:rRNA from 1 species